rnacentral:rRNA from 1 species
CCUACGGGGGGCAGCAGUGGGGAAUAUUGCACAAUGGGCGCAAGCCUGAUGCAGCCAUGCCGCGUGUGUGAAGAAGGCCUUCGGGUUGUAAAGCACUUUCAGCGGGGAGGAAGGCGGUGAGGUUAAUAACCUCAUCGAUUGACGUUACCCGCAGAAGAAGCACCGGCUAACUCCGUGCCAGCAGCCGCGGUAAUACGGAGGGUGCAAGCGUUAAUCGGAAUUACUGGGCGUAAAGCGCACGCAGGCGGUCUGUCAAGUCGGAUAUGAAAUCCCCGGGCUCAACCUGGGAACUGCAUUCGAAACUGGCAGGCUAGAGUCUUGUAGAGGGGGGUAGAAUUCCAGGUGUAGCGGUGAAAUGCGUAGAGAUCUGGAGGAAUACCGGUGGCGAAGGCGGCCCCCUGGACAAAGACUGACGCUCAGGUGCGAAAGCGUGGGGAGCAAACAGGAUUAGAUACCCGUGUAGUC